rnacentral:rRNA from 1 species
GACGAACGCUGGCGGCGUGCUUAACACAUGCUAGUCGAACGCUGAAGCUCAGCUUUUGUUGGGUGGAUGAGUGGCGAACGGGUGAGUAACACGUGAGUAACCUGCCCCCUUCUUUGGGAUAACGCCCGGAAACGGGUGCUAAUACUGGAUAUUCACUGGUCUUCGCAUGGGGGUUGGUGGAAAGGGUUUUUCUGGUGGGGGAUGGGCUCGCGGCCUAUCAGCUUGUUGGUGGGGUGAUGGCCUACCAAGGCUUUGACGGGUAGCCGGCCUGAGAGGGUGACCGGUCACAUUGGGACUGAGAUACGGCCCAGACUCCUACGGGAGGCAGCAGUGGGGAAUAUUGCACAAUGGGCGCAAGCCUGAUGCAGCGACGCCGCGUGAGGGAUGGAGGCCUUCGGGUUGUGAACCUCUUUCGCUCAUGGUCAAGCCGCAACAAUGGUUGUGGUGAGGGUAGUAGGUAAAGAAGCGCCGGCUAACUACGUG